rnacentral:rRNA from 1 species
AGUAACACGUGAGUGACCUGCCUUUUAGACUGGAACAACUUACCGAAAGGUGAGCUAAUGCCGGAUGAGUUAUAUAAGUGCAUGUUUAUAUAGGAAAAGUUGGGGAGACCUGACGCUGAAAGAUGGACUCGCGUCCCAUUAGCUAGUUGGUAGGGUAAUGGCCUACCAAGGCGACGAUGGGUAGCCGGCCUGAGAGGGUGGCCGGCCACACUGGGACUGAGACACGGCCCAGACUCCUACGGGAGGCAGCAG